rnacentral:rRNA from 1 species
GACGAACGCUGGCGGCGUGCCUAAUACAUGCAAGUAGAACGCUGAAGGAGGAGCUUGCUUCUCUGGAUGAGUUGCGAACGGGUGAGUAACGCGUAGGUAACCUGCCUGGUAGCGGGGGAUAACUAUUGGAAACGAUAGCUAAUACCGCAUAAGAGUAGAUGCUGCAUGACAUUUGCUUAAAAGGUGCAAUUGCAUCACUACCAGAUGGACCUGCGUUGUAUUAGCUAGUUGGUGAGGUAACGGCUCACCAAGGCAACGAUACAUAGCCGACCUGAGAGGGUGAUCGGCCACACUGGGACUGAGACACGGCCCAGACUCCUACGGGAGGCAGCAGUAGGGAAUCUUCGGCAAUGGACGGAAGUCUGACCGAGCAACGCCGCGUGAGUGAAGAAGGUUUUCGGAUCGUAAAGCUCUGUUGUAAGAGAAGAACGAGUGUGAGAGUGGAAAGUUCACACUGUGACGAUAUCUUACCAGAAAGGGACGGCUAACUACGUGC